rnacentral:rRNA from 1 species
GCUUGUGACUCUGCGAGAAGUCCAUUGAACCUUAUCAUUUAGAGGAAGGAGAAGUCGUAACAAGGUUUCCGUAGGUGAACCUGCGGAAGGAUCAUUGUCGAGACUGAACUAUAUACCGAGCGAUUUAGAGAACCGGUCAAAAUAAGUGGUUGCUAGCUAUAAAAGCCAUCCCAUUCUUCACCUCAUCCCUUAUGGCCGAGGUCAUGAAUAUGGGUGGAUGAACAUUCAAACCGGCGCAACAUCGCGCCAAGGGAUAUAUCCAAAAGCGAGCUCUUAAAUGGGUUUGGUGGCAUAAGGUGCUUUUGCACGUCCUCAGGAUUGACAUGACUCUCGGCAAUGGAUAUCUCGGCUCUCGCAUCGAUGAAGAGCGCAGCGAAAUGCGAUACGUGGUGCGAAUUGCAGAAUCCCGCGAACCAUCGAGUCUUUGAACGCAAGUUGCGCCUGAGGUCAAAUGGCCAAGGGCACGUCUACCUGGGCGUCAAGCAUUUCGUCGCUCUAAGUCAACACCAUCCCAUCGAUGGAUAGGCUAGCAAAGGCUUGGAUGUGCAAAGUGGCUCAUCAUUUCCUUCGGAGUGGUGGGCUAAAGAGCGGGUCAUCUUCUCGUUGGCUGCGAACAAUAAGGGGUGGAUUAAAAUGAGUCACGCGCUAUUGUCUCGCGUAUGCCUGAGAGAAGAUUAUAUAUAUUUAUGUGAUCCAAAAUCAUGCGUCGAUCCAUGGAUGGCGUUUUGAAUAUGACCCCAGGAUGGGCGGGGCCACCCGCUGAGUUUAAGCAUAUCAAUAAGCGGAGGAAAAGAAACUUACGAGGAUUCCCCGUUUAAGCAUAUCAAUAAGCGGAGGAAAAGAAACUUACGAGGAUUCCCC